AUUGAACGCUGGCGGCAGGCUUAACACAUGCAAGUCGAGCGAGCGGCGGACGGGUGCGUAAUGUCUGGGAAAAUGCCUGAUGGAGGGGAAUAACUAAUGGAAACGGUAGCUAAUACCGCAUACAAUCAGAUGUGCCCAGAUGGGAUGAGCUCGUAGGUGGGGUAAGGGCGCACCUAGGCGACGCUACCUAGCAGGUCUGAGAGGAUGACCAGCCACACUGUAACGGAGACACGGUCCAGACUCCUACGGGAGUCAGCAGUGGGGAAUAUUGCACAAGGGGCGCAAGCCUGAUGCAGCCAUGCCGCGUGUGUGAAGAAGGCCUUCGGGUUGUAAAGCACUUGCAGCGAGGAGGCGUUACUCGCAGAAGAAGCACCGGCUAACUCCGUGCCAGCAGCCGCGGUAAUUC
rnacentral:rRNA from 1 species